ACGGGUGAGUAAUACAUCGGAACGUGUCCUGUAGUGGGGGAUAGCCCGGCGAAAGCCGGAUUAAUACCGCAUACGCUCUGCGGAGGAAAGCGGGGGAUCCUUCGGGACCUCGCGCUACAGGGGCGGCCGAUGGCAGAUUAGCUAGUUGGUGGGGUAAAGGCCUACCAAGGCGACGAUCUGUAGCUGGUCUGAGAGGACGACCAGCCACACUGGGACUGAGACACGGCCCAGACUCCUACGGGAGGCAGCAGUGGGGAAUUUUGGACAAUGGGCGCAAGCCUGAUCCAGCAAUGCCGCGUGUGUGAAGAAGGCCUUCGGGUUGUAAAGCACUUUUGUCCGGAAAGAAAACCUCGUGGUUAAUACCCGUGGGGGAUGACGGUACCGGAAGAAUAAGCACCGGCUAACUACGUGCCAGCAGCCGCGGUAAUACGUAGGGUGCAAGCGUUAAUCGGAAUUACUGGGCGUAAAGCGUGCGCAGGCGGUUCGCUAAGACAGAUGUGAAAUCCCCGGGCUUAACCUGGGAACUGCAUUUGUGACUGGCGGGCUAGAGUAUGGCAGAGGGGGGUAGAAUUCCACGUGUA
rnacentral:rRNA from 1 species